CUGUGGCUGGGUGGGGGCCAGUCAUGUCCUGGACUGGGGCAAGGUCGGCGACCAGCCGUUCCACACGGCCGCCGCGGC
rnacentral:tRNA from 1 species